GAUCAUGGCUCGGGAUGAACGCUGGCGGCGUGCUUAACACAUGCAAGUCGAACGAGAGAAGAUCGGUGCUUGCACUGAUCCGAUCGAGUGGCGGACGGGUGAGUAACGCGUGGGUAACCUGCCUCAUACAGGGGAAUAACAGUUGGAAACGGCUGCUAAAACCGCAUAAGCGCACGGUAUCGCAUGAUACAGUGUGAAAAACUCCGGUGGUAUGAGAUGGACCCGCGU
rnacentral:rRNA from 1 species